CGGAGCUUCUGGAGAUCACACCAGGGAUUUGCGCUCGGUUGAAACUGACGAAACCACCACUCCACCCCUGCAACAACACGAAAACUUCUUAAUGAGGGAAUCCACCGCCGCUAAGGAACAAGACCAGAGGACUCGUCACCGUCGCCAAGGACCCACCAGGACUCACCGCCGCCGCCAACGGACCAAACUGAUAUCCAAUGGCCUAGAAGAGGAAACGAAAAAUAUGAGCAAAUAAAAUUGCCAUUGUAGUUAUUGAACAUAAAAUGUACCUAUUAAAUUAAAUGACAAUGUAUUGUUGUACAAAUAAAUUGUUUAUUAUUUAAAUGUGUUUUAGUUAAAUGUGUUUUAAUUUGCCUAGUGAAAAUUACAAAGGGAAUGAACUAAAAUUUAUAAAAAUAAUAAUUAGUAAAGUGUUUUUAUACAAGGUGUGUGCUAAAAAUAAGUUAAGUGUAGUGUUGAAACGUGUUAAUUACAAAAUGUAAGGUAGGUACGUGAAGAAGGGAUGUAAAGACCUGGUGAAAGUUACAUAGUGAAUUGACUGAAAUUCAAAAAUUAAUAAUUACUAAUCUAAUGUAUUGUAAGACAAUUAAAAACUUCUUCAGUUAAAUUUUGAAAUCUUUGUAAUUCUUUUAUGUGUAAACAGGGUGAGUGAAAUGUGUGGCAAGAUUGGGGUGUGUACGUGAGAGGAAGGAAUGUGUGGGUGGUUUGGGUAGGUACGUGAAGAAGGGAUGUAAAUACCUGAUGAAAGUUACAAAGUGAAUUGACUGAAAUUCAAAAAUUAAUAAUUACUAAUUUAAUGUAUUGUAAUACAAUUAAAAACUUCUUCAGUUAAAUUUUGAAAUCUUUGUAAUUCUUUUAUGUGUAAAUAGGGUGAGUGAAAUGUGUGGCACGAUUGGGGUGUGUACGUAAGGAAGAAACGUGUGGGUGGUUUGGGUAAGUACGUAAAGAAGGGAUGUAAAUACCUGAUGAAAGUUACAAUGUGAAUUGACUGAAAUUCAAAAAUUAAUAAUUACUAAUUUAAUGUAUUGUAAUACAAUUAAAAACUUCUUCAGUUAAAUUUUGAAAUCUUUGUAAUUCUUUUAUGUGUAAAUAGGGUGAGUGAAAUGUGUGGCACGAUUGGGGUGUGUACGUAAGGAAGAAACGUGUGGGUGGUUUGGGUAAGUACGUAAAGAAGGGAUGUAAAUACCUGAUGAAAGUUACAAUGUGAAUUGACUGAAAUUCAAAAAUUAAUAAUUACUAAUUUAAUGUAUUGUAAUACAAUUAAAAACUUCUUCAGUUAAAUUUUGAAAUCUUUGUAAUUCUUUUAUGUGUAAAUAGGGUGAGUGAAAUGUGUGGCACGAUUGGGGUGUGUACGUAAGGAAGAAACGUGUGGGUGGUUUGGGUAAGUACGUAAAGAAGGGAUGUAAAUACCUGAUGAAAGUUACAAUGUGAAUUGACUGAAAUUCAAAAAUUAAUAAUUACUAAUUUAAUGUAUUGUAAUACAAUUAAAAACUUCUUCAGUUAAAUUUUGAAAUCUUUGUAAUUCUUUUAUGUGUAAAUAGGGUGAGUGAAAUGUGUGGCACGAUUGGGGUGUGUACGUAAGGAAGAAACGUGUGGGUGGUUUGGGUAAGUACGUAAAGAAGGGAUGUAAAUACCUGAUGAAAGUUACAAUGUGAAUUGACUGAAAUUCAAAAAUUAAUAAUUACUAAUUUAAUGUAUUGUAAUACAAUUAAAAACUUCUUCAGUUAAAUUUUGAAAUCUUUGUAAUUCUUUUAUGUGUAAAUAGGGUGAGUGAAAUGUGUGGCACGAUUGGGGUGUGUACGUAAGGAAGAAACGUGUGGGUGGUUUGGGUAAGUACGUAAAGAAGGGAUGUAAAUACCUGAUGAAAGUUACAAUGUGAAUUGACUGAAAUUCAAAAAUUAAUAAUUACUAAUUUAAUGUAUUGUAAUACAAUUAAAAACUUCUUCAGUUAAAUUUUGAAAUCUUUGUAAUUCUUUUAUGUGUAAAUAGGGUGAGUGAAAUGUGUGGCACGAUUGGGGUGUGUACGUAAGGAAGAAACGUGUGGGUGGUUUGGGUAAGUACGUAAAGAAGGGAUGUAAAUACCUGAUGAAAGUUACAAUGUGAAUUGACUGAAAUUCAAAAAUUAAUAAUUACUAAUUUAAUGUAUUGUAAUACAAUUAAAAACUUCUUCAGUUAAAUUUUGAAAUCUUUGUAAUUCUUUUAUGUGUAAAUAGGGUGAGUGAAAUGUGUGGCACGAUUGGGGUGUGUACGUAAGGAAGAAACGUGUGGGUGGUUUGGGUAAGUACGUAAAGAAGGGAUGUAAAUACCUGAUGAAAGUUACAAUGUGAAUUGACUGAAAUUCAAAAAUUAAUAAUUACUAAUUUAAUGUAUUGUAAUACAAUUAAAAACUUCUUCAGUUAAAUUUUGAAAUCUUUGUAAUUCUUUUAUGUGUAAAUAGGGUGAGUGAAAUGUGUGGCACGAUUGGGGUGUGUACGUAAGGAAGAAACGUGUGGGUGGUUUGGGUAAGUACGUAAAGAAGGGAUGUAAAUACCUGAUGAAAGUUACAAUGUGAAUUGACUGAAAUUCAAAAAUUAAUAAUUACUAAUUUAAUGUAUUGUAAUACAAUUAAAAACUUCUUCAGUUAAAUGUUGUAAUCUUUGUAAUUCUUUUAUGUAUAAACAGGGUGAGUGAAAUGUGUAGCACGAUUGGGGUGAGUACGUGACAAAGGAACGUGUGGGUGGUUUGGGUAAGUACGUGAAGAAGGGAUGUGAAUACCUGGUGAAAGUUACAAAGUGAAUUGACUGAAAUUCAAAAAUUAAUAAUUACUAAUUUAAUGUAUUGUAAUACAAGGUGUAUGUGCUAAUAAAUUGUACAGUGUUGAAACGUGUUAAUUACAAUGUGUGUUGUCUUGUGUCUAAAAUACGAAAUUCUGUGUUGUGUGAUAUUAAUUGAAAUUAAUUAAAAAUUGAAAACAAAAUUAAUUGACAGAAUUGAUAGUUCGGCAUGGGAUUCUGCAAACGAAUCGAUAGAUUUUUCAACUAUAACCCCUGUUAAGCCAGCAAAACAUAACAAAAAAUACCAAAACUCCUUCAACAAUUGUUCACUCUUUAGAUGCAUAAAAAGUGAACACAAAAAAGGUUAAAGUUACUAAGAAUAAAACGAUAAUAACAAAGCACCAUUCAGAGUGAAUUAUCGUUGACGAAAUCAGUUAAAAAAACCAUAAAAAG
rnacentral:lncRNA from 1 species